GACGAACGCUGGCGGCGUGCUUAACACAUGCAAGUCGAACGGAAAGGCCCUGCUUUUGGGGGGUGCUCGAGUGGCGAACGGGUGAGUAACACGUGAGUAACCUGCCCUUGACUUUGGGAUAACUUCAGGAAACUGGGGCUAAUACCGGAUAGGAGCUCCUGCUGCAUGGUGGGGGUUGGAAAGUUUCGGCGGUUGGGGAUGGACUCGCGGCUUAUCAGCUUGUUGGUGGGGUAGUGGCUUACCAAGGCUUUGACGGGUAGCCGGCCUGAGAGGGUGACCGGCCACAUUGGGACUGAGAUACGGCCCAGACUCCUACGGGAGGCAGCAGUGGGGAAUAUUGCACAAUGGGCGGAAGCCUGAUGCAGCAACGCCGCGUGCGGGAUGACGGCCUUCGGGUUGUAAACCGCUUUCGCCUGUGACGAAGCGUGAGUGACGGUAAUGGGUAAAGAAGCACCGGCUAACUACGUGCCAGCAGCCGCGGUGAUACGUAGGGUGCGAGCGUUGUCCGGAUUUAUUGGGCGUAAAGGGCUCGUAGGUGGUUGAUCGCGUCGGAAGUGUAAUCUUGGGGCUUAACCCUGAGCGUGCUUUCGAUACGGGUUGACUUGAGGAAGGUAGGGGAGAAUGGAAUUCCUGGUGGAGCGGUGGAAUGCGCAGAUAUCAGGAGGAACACCAGUGGCGAAGGCGGUUCUCUGGGCCUUUCCUGACGCUGAGGAGCGAAAGCGUGGGGAGCGAACAGGCUUAGAUACCCUGGUAGUCCACGCUGUAAACGGUGGGUACUAGGUGUGGGGUCCAUUCCACGGGUUCCGUGCCGUAGCUAACGCUUUAAGUACCCCGCCUGGGGAGUACGGCCGCAAGGCUAAAACUCAAAGGAAUUGACGGGGCCCCGCACAAGCGGCGGAGCAUGCGGAUUAAUUCGAUGCAACGCGUAGAACCUUACCUGGGUUUGACAUGGAUCGGGAGUGCUCAGAGAUGGGUGUGCCUCUUUUGGGGUCGGUUCACAGGUGGUGCAUGGCUGUCGUCAGCUCGUGUCGUGAGAUGUUGGGUUAAGUCCCGCAACGAGCGCAACCCUUGUUCACUGUUGCCAGCACGUUAUGGUGGGGACUCAGUGGAGACCGCCGGGGUCAACUCGGAGGAAGGUGGGGAUGACGUCAAGUCAUCAUGCCCCUUAUGUCCAGGGCUUCACGCAUGCUACAAUGGCUGGUACAGAGAGUGGCGAGCCUGUGAGGGUGAGCGAAUCUCGGAAAGCCGGUCUCAGUUCGGAUUGGGGUCUGCAACUCGACCUCAUGAAGUCGGAGUCGCUAGUAAUCGCAGAUCAGCAACGCCGCGGUGAAUACGUUCCCGGG
rnacentral:rRNA from 1 species